GACGUAGGGCGCGAGCGUUGUCCGGAAUUAUUGGGCGUAAAGGGCGCGUAGGCGAUCUGACAAGUCUGGUGUGAAAGCCCACAUGUUAACUGUGGAAGUGCAUUAGAAACUGUUGGAUUUGAGUUCAGGAGAGGAAGGCAGAAUUCCCGGUGUAGCGGUGAAAUGCGUAGAGAUCGGGAGGAACACCAGUGGCGAAGGCGACUACCUGGCCUGUUCUUGACGCUGAGGCGCGAAAGCUAGGGGAGCAACGGGG
rnacentral:rRNA from 1 species